rnacentral:tRNA from 1 species
GUAUGUAGCUCAGUAGGUAGAGUGAUUGCCUUCCAUGCAUAAGGCCUUGGAUUCAAUCCCCAGCACCACC